AGAGUUUGAUCCUGGCUCAGGAUAAACGCUGGCGGCGUGCAUAAAACAUGCAAGUCGGACGAGCGCCCGCAAGGGUGCUAGUGGCGGACGGCUGAGUAACACGUAAGUGACCUACCCCCCAGUGGGGAAUAACUGCUCGAAAGAGUGGCUAAUACCGCAUGCGCUCACGGUUUCGGUACGGUGAGGAAAGCAGCGAUGCGCUAGGGGAUGGGCUUGCGGCCGAUUAGCUAGUUGGUGGGGUAAGGGCCUACCAAGGCGAUGAUCGGUAGCUGGUCUGAGAGGAUGAUCAGCCAGACUGGGACUGCGACACGGCCCAGACUCCUACGGGAGGCAGCAGUUAGGAAUUUUGCGCAAUGGACGAAAGUCUGACGCAGCAACGCCGCGUGGAGGACGAAGGCCCUCGGGUCGUAAACUCCUUUUCCAGGGGAAGAUGGUGACGGUACCCUGGGAAUAAGCCCCGGCUAACUACGUGCCAGCAGCCGCGGUAAUACGUAGGGGGCGAGCGUUGUCCGGAUUUACUGGGCGUAAAGAGCGCGUAGGCGGUGAGUUUAGUCGUGCGUGAAAUACCUCGGCUCAACCGGGGGGUGUCGUGCGAUACUGGCUCACUCGAGGCUGGUAGGGGGAAGUGGAAUUCCCGGUGUAGUGGUGGAAUGCGUAGAUAUCGGGAGGAACACCAGUGGCGAAGGCGGCUUCCUGGACCAGUCCUGACGCUGAGGCGCGAAAGCGUGGGGAGCGAACUGAAUUAGAUACUCAGGUAGUCCACGCCGUAAACGAUGGAUGCUAGGUGUCGGGGGUAUCGACCCCUCCGGUGCCGCAGCUAACGCAUUAAGCAUCCCGCCUGGGGAGUACGGCCGCAAGGCUAAAACUCAAAGGAAUUGACGG
rnacentral:rRNA from 1 species